rnacentral:rRNA from 1 species
CUACGGGAGGCAGCAGUGGGGAAUCUUGCGCAAUGGGCGAAAGCCUGACGCAGCGACGCCGCGUGAGUGAUGAAGGCCCUCGGGUUGUAAAGCUCUGUGGAGGGGGACGAAUUAGUGCCGGCUAAUACCCGGUGUGAUGACGGUACCCCUUUAGCAAGCACCGGCUAACUCUGUGCCAGCAGCCGCGGUAAGACAGAGGGUGCAAACGUUGUUCGGAAUUACUGGGCGUAAAGCGCGUGUAGGCGGCUCGGAAAGUCGGGUGUGAAAGCCCUGGGCUCAACCCAGGAAGUGCAUUCGAAACUCCCGAGCUGGAGUUCUGGAGAGGAAGGCGGAAUUCUCGGUGUAGAGGUGAAAUUCGUAGAUAUCGAGAGGAACACCGGUGGCGAAGGCGGCCUUCUGGACAGCAACUGACGCUGAGACGCGAAAGCGUGGGGAGCAAACAGGAUUAGAUACCCCGGU